rnacentral:lncRNA from 1 species
UUCGAGAGGAAUAUAGAUGCAUAUACUAUAUAUAUUAACAUACAUAUAAUUAUUAUGUAUUUGUUUCCAAGGGAGGCAAGUGGAAAUAAACAUAACACACAAUGACCAGGCAAAAUUCACACCACAAUAACACACAGAGUGUGACCGGAGUAAAGAAUGCAAAACUCCCACGCUGCAAUAUUAUUUUGGGAAUAUAGGGGAAUGGUUAAUAACUAAAAUGAAAAUGCAAUUAGUUUGAUUAUUUACAUGUCAAGGGUCAUGCAGCAAAAUGGCUCUUUUUCCCCUUCUUCUUCUUAAUGCCAAGCCAGCCUUCUGAACUCCCGGCAAAGGCAGGCAGACUAAUAAUAUUUUUAAAAUAGUUUGUACAUUUUCUGCAAUUUGUAGUUUCGAAAGGUCUGUUUCAACGGGGGAAAAAAUAGGGGAACAGAAGAGUGGAAAACGGGAGGCAAUAAGAAGAAAACCUGCUUUUGUUCCCUCUGGUUAUUUUCUAAUAAUUAUUCUGACCAUUGUGACAAAGUAGCAGCUAAGGAUAGAUUAGUGUAAAUAGCGUCGCAUUUCACUUGCAAACCUUGCAACUUUCUGGCCCAAGCCUUGCCGCGGUGUUUGUUUCUCCCCUUCACCUCAAACAGAAACUCAUUGAGAUUUCAGAUCUUUGAACUUUGGACAGAUCAAACUGCCAGCGCUCACCUUUGUCUCCAGUCAUUAGGAUUUAAGGCAUAUGUAGCCUCAUGGCAGAAUCCAUUUGUCUCUACAAGGGAAAAAAGAUGCGAUGUCCUCUCUUUCCCCCCACCCUAAAACUCCUGCAUUUAGCUGAAUUCAUAGAAAGGAUCAUUUUCCGGAAUGGCGCCUCUGCUGCGGUAGCAUUGCUCGAAUGGGCUUUGCUCAGGCAGUAGGCAGCGGGAAGACUUCGCCAUCUAACUUGUUGCUCAACUUACGAGGCGGUUCUCAUCUUCUCAUCAAAAGCCGCCGGUCUUUCUUCUGCCGUAUGGACAAAAAUGUGAACAACAAUGCCCGCCUCCCUUCACUUCAAAAGCUGCCAGCGCAGAGGCUACCCAGAGAAUUUUCUCUCUGCCUUUCAUUCCCGGUUUGAAAAAAGGCACUACAGGGCCAAGGCGCUCCUAAUACUCUUUGAUGGGGAUUGAAUUCAUUAUCUCCAAUAACACAAUUGUGCUUGGCCAACGAAAAGAGCAAAGUAAUACUCAUCUAGAAUUAGAGAGCAGGGCUCAGAAGAAAGGGAGCGGGAGGGUAGUGG